GGGUUAAGUCCCGCAACGAGCGCAACCCUUGCCUUUAGUUGCCAGCAGUUCGGCUGGGCACUCUAAAGGGACGUGCCGGUGUUAAACCGGAGGAAGGUGGGGAUGACGUCAAGUCCUCAUGGCCUUUAUGACCAGGGCUACACACGUACUACAAUGGCCGAUACAAAGGGCAGCGACACUGCGAGGUGAAGCCAAUCCCGUAAAAAUCGGUCUCAGUCCGGAUUGGAGUCUGCAACUCGACUCCAUGAAGUUGGAAUCGCUAGUAAUCGUGGAUCAGCAUGCCACGGUGAAUACGUUCCCGGGCCUU
rnacentral:rRNA from 1 species